GCCCGGUUAGCUCAAUCGGUAGAGGUUAGGUAGUUCAUCUUCAUACUGCCUUUUCUCGAACAAACGAUACUGACUGCCGAAAACAGCGUGAGACUCUUAAUCUCAAGAUUGCGGGUUCGACCCCCGCAUCGGGCU